rnacentral:snRNA from 1 species
AUCGCUUCUCAGCCUUUUGGCUAAGAUCAAGCAUAGUAUCUGUUCUUAUCAGUUUAAUAUCUGAUACAUCCUCUAUCCGAGGACAAUAUAUUAAAUAUAUUUUUGGAGUCGGGAGAUGGAAUAGGAGCUUGCUCAAAAAAAAAAAAAAUAUGUAAAGGUCCUUUUCCUUUUCCUCACAAUGCAUUAUCUGAAGGGUUCAAGUGCC